rnacentral:rRNA from 1 species
ACGGAAGGCAGCAGUGGGGAAUAUUGCACAAUGGGGGAAACCCUGAUGCAGCGACGCCGCGUGAGUGAAGAAGUAUUUCGGUAUGUAAAGCUCUAUCAGCAGGAAAGAAAAUGACGGUACCUGACUAAGAAGCCCCGGCUAACUACGUGCCAGCAGCCGCGGUAAUACGUAGGGGGCAAGCGUUAUCCGGAUUUACUGGGUGUAAAGGGAGCGUAGACGGCUUUGCAAGUCUGAAGUGAAAGCCCGGGGCUCAACCCCGGAACUGCUUUGGAAACCGUAGAGCUAGAGUGCAGGAGAGGUAAGUGGAAUUCCUAGUGUAGCGGUGAAAUGCGUAGAUAUUAGGAGGAACACCAGUGGCGAAGGCGGCUUACUGGACUGUAACUGACGUUGAGGCUCGAAGGCGUGGGGAGCAAACAGGAUUAGAUACCCUGGUA